UGAGAAUGUAUGCAAAGAGAGAAGCAAGGAAAAAAGAGAGAGAGAGCGGGCGAGCAUUCUGAUGACAUUCUUUCCCAAUCAUUGUCACUAUCUCAAUUUUUACUUGUUAUUCUGAUAUGAUAAUUGAUGGAAUUUUCUUUCACCCUCGAAAGUAGCAAAUAAUAUAGUCAACCUAAUGAAGGCCCUGGACUUAUUUAUGCAUGAAGUCAGCUGCCUCCCUAGGAAAAUGAACCAAGAAAUCCUCUUUGGAGGGAGAGAAAGCAGGUUGGCUUAAGGUAGUUUGAUAAGCAAAGAGUGUCACUUGCGCUGUUCCUCACCACCUGUCCGUGACUGCAAUCACAAAGUCUUUCUGUUUGACUGUUUAAAGUUCAUCCACAUAUAAGCUGCGUAGACAGAGCUGCAACAUUUCCUUUAAAAAGGUAUAUGCAAAGACCUGGACACAAGAGAGGGAACAGUGCUACAGGAGCUAAAGGGAGAUCAACAGGGUGGCAGUGGAGAGAGAAGAGAAGUGAGAGGGGAGACAUGAGGCAGCAAAGCAUUUACGGACACGUGGAGGAUGUAAUCAGGCAUUAUAUACUUCAGUAUGGUGCAUCAACUUUGGGGGGCAAAAGCAGAAGUCAUUACCUCUAAGAUUUCAAGUACUUUAUCAAGGGUGGGGAGUCUUCAGUUGAGUUUUGCAGUCUUCACCAAACCGCUGAGGAAUCAAAGUUGGCCUGCACUGGGGAAGCUGGCAGUCUAGAGGUGGAUACAGAAGAGAAAAUAUAACUACAAAAGAGAUCAAAACGGACAUAAAGCACAGAAGCAGCACAGAGAUGGAGGGGUCAUCUCUGUUGGGAAGGAGUGAGAGGUCCAAGGAGCCUUCCCAAAGAGGGGGUACCUCAAGGGUCAGGAUCUACUGCAGCAUCUGGCACAAUUGCUCCCCAAAACAGCUAUUGAAUGAAUAAAUGAU